AGGACGAACGCUGGCGGUGCGCCUAACACAUGCAAGUCGAACGGUGAACCGGGCUUCGGCCCGGGGAUCAGUGGCGAACGGGUGCGUAACACGUGGGCAACCUGCCCCCGACCCUGGGAUAACCCCGGGAAACCGGAGCUAAUACCGGAUACUCUCCUCCGACCACAUGGUCAGAAGAGGAAAGGUCCGCCGGUCGGGGAUGGGCCCGCGGCCUAUCAGCUUGUUGGUGGGGUAACGGCCUACCAAGGCGACGACGGGUAGCUGGUCUGAGAGGACGACCAGCCACACUGGGACUGAGACACGGCCCAGACUCCUACGGGAGGCAGCAGUGGGGAAUCUUGCGCAAUGGGCGAAAGCCUGACGCAGCGACACCGCGUGGGGGAUGAAGGCCUUUCAGGUCGUAAACCCCUUUCGGCAGGGACGAAGCGAUGUCGUGACGGUACCUGCAGAAGAAGCCUCGGCUAACUACGUGCCAGCAGCCGC
rnacentral:rRNA from 1 species